CCCAGUUACUUUCCCUAACCAAGAUGAAGCCUCACAGCCUCUCAAGCGAUCAUGCUUCUCUAACCCAUGAGUCCAAGAGAUCCUUUGGAGUUGUAGAGAAGCUCAAGCUUCAGGCUUGUGAUGCUGCCAGAAAUAACGGAGUAGUCGGGAAGGGAAAUACUACUACAACUACUACUUGGUUUUCUAAGGAAAACCAGAGACGGAACUGGAGCUAUGUCGCAGAAGACCCCAUUAGAACUAUGAUGUUCUUGGCCUCUUGGGGCCAUACUUGAGUUCUAUACAUCUUCUAAUUA
rnacentral:misc_RNA from 1 species